GUAGGGAAUAUUGGUCAAUGGACGAAAGUCUGAACCAGCCAUUCCGCGUGCAGGAAGAAGAUUCUAUGGAUUGUAAACUGCUUUUAGCAGAGAAGAAACGACUUCCUUUAUGAGGGUUUGACGGUAUAUGCGGAAUAAACACCGGCUAACUCCGUGCCAGCAGCCGCGGUAAUACGGGGGGUGCAAGCGUUAUCCGGAAUCACUGGGUUUAAAGGGUGCGUAGGCGGGAAAUUAAGUCAGUGGUGAAAGUCUGUUGCUUAACGAUAGAAUUGCCAUUGAUACUGAUUUUCUUGAAUUGGGUUGAGGUUAGCGGAAUGUGACAUGUAGCGGUGAAAUGCAUAGAUAUGUCAUGGAACACCAAUUGCGAAGGCAGCUAGCUGGGCCUUGAUUGACGCUGAGGCACGAAAGCGUGGGUAGCGAACAGGAUUAGAAACCCUUGUAGUCC
rnacentral:rRNA from 1 species